rnacentral:lncRNA from 1 species
AAUCCCUUCAUUACAUCCUUUCCUCUCUUUCCCCUUGAGCAAAUCUCUAUUUUGCUGGCUGGCAAUAACAUAUUUAUUACUGCACAGGUUGCAAAAUUUGCCUUGGCUGCAAGUAAGUUGAGCACUAGGCACCAAGACACGUAUCAUAAGGGGGAGUGUGAGAUGUGGAGUGCUUAACUUAUGCAGAAAGUUGCUCUCAUCCUGAUCAUGUUAUGCCUCACCUGGCUGGGCAAGUGCCACGGCUCCUGUGUCCGAACCGUAAAUAAAGCAGAAGUUAAAGAUGGAUCAGUCAUUCCUCCAGAUGGAUGCACUUCUCCUUUGGAUGGGACAAAACACGGAAUGGGGACUGAGUGGAAUGGAGCUAACGGCAUGAAAUGCAAAUGCAGCAGAAGCGGAGCAGAAUGCUGUGACAAUAGCAUACCUGGAACCAACGGGAAAUGAUGAUGCUUCGCAGCUGAAUUUUGAAGCUAUAAAGGGACCCAUCACAACUGUGUUUUGAAGCUAUACAAACCUAUUCCAUUCCCUUCAUGUUAGAGAACCAGAAUAAAUCAGUCAAUGUCCU